CGGCGGACGGGUGAGUAACACGUGGAUAACCUACCUAUAAGACUGGGAUAACUUGGGAAACCGGAGCUAAUACCGGAUAAUAUAUUGAACCGCAUGGUUCAAUAGUGAAAGACGGUUUUGCUGUCACUUAUAGAUGGAUCCGCGCCGCAUUAGCUAGUUGGUAAGGUAACGGCUUACCAAGGCAACGAUGCGUAGCCGACCUGAGAGGGUGAUCGGCCACACUGGAACUGAGACACGGUCCAGACUCCUACGGGAGGCAGCAGGG
rnacentral:rRNA from 1 species